UACGCAAGUACCGUGAGUUCGAAUCUCACCCUCUCCGCCAGUUACACUACAUAUUUGACCCACGUUUUGAUAGCCGGGUCCUGCACAACAAAGAAUCGUGAACUCCGUCAGGUCCGGGAGGAAGCAGCGGCAGCGAAUCUCUUUGUGUGUUGCAGGGUUGCCCGGCUUUUUUUUUAUCUUUUUUA
rnacentral:SRP_RNA from 1 species